CCUACGGGAGGCAGCAGUGGGGAAUCUUGCGCAAUGGGCGAAAGCCUGACGCAGCAACGCCGCGUGCGGGAAGAAGGCUCUCGGGUUGUAAACCGCUUUCAGCAGGAACGAAAAUGACGGUACUUGCAGAAGAAGGUGCGGCCAACUACGUGCCAGCAGCCGCGGUGACACGUAGGCACCAAGCGUUGUCCGGAUUUAUUGGGCGUAAAGAGCUCGUAGGCGGUUCGGUAAGUCAGGUGUGAAAACUUUGGGCUCAACCCAAAGCCUGCAUCUGAUACUGCUGUGACUAGAGUUCGGUAGGGGAGCGGGGAAUUCCUAGUGUAGCGGUGAAAUGCGCAGAUAUUAGGAGGAAACACCGGUGGCGAAAGGCGCCGCUCUGGGCCGAAAACUGACGCUGAGGAGCGAAAGCGUGGGUAGCAAACAGGAUUAGAUACCCUGGUAGUCCACGCCGUAAAACGUUGGGGCACUAGGUGUGGGGUUUUCAACCAACGAAAUACCGCGCCGUCGCUAAACGCAUUAAAGUGCCCCGCCUGGGGAGUACGGCCGCCAGGGUUAAAACGUACAAAGGAAAUUGAACGGCGNGAAGAGUGCGAGACGACACGAGGAGGAGG
rnacentral:rRNA from 1 species